rnacentral:rRNA from 1 species
AACGAACGCUGGCGGCAUGCCUAACACAUGCAAGUCGAACGAGACCUUCGGGUCUAGUGGCGCACGGGUGCGUAACGCGUGGGAACCUGCCCUUAGGUUCGGAAUAACUCCCCGAAAGGGGUGCUAAUACCGGAUAAUGUCUUCUGACCAAAGAUUUAUCGCCUUUGGAUGGGCCCUCGUUGGAUUAGCUAGUUGUUAGGGUAAUAGCCUACCAAGGCGACGAUCCAUAGCUGGGCUGAGAGGAUGAUCAGCCACACUGGGACUGAGACACGGCCCAGACUCUUCCGGGAUGCAGCAGUGGGGAAUAUUGGAAAACGGGCGAAAGGCUGAUGCAGCAAUGACGCGUGAGUGAUGAAGGCCUGAGGGUUGUAAAGCUCUUUUACCCGGGAUGAUAAUGACAGUACCGAGAGAAUAAGCUCCGGCUAACUCCGUG